GCAAACUUGGUCAUUUAGAGGAAGUAAAAGUCGUAACAAGGUCUCCGUAGGUGAACCUGCGGAGGGAUCAUUACUGAAUGACCUGUGUAAGGGUCUUCAAACCUUCAAACCUUGUGGAAAUAAAAACGUGCUUCGGCGUCUUUUUGGGCGCCGCUUUUAUGCAUAAUCAUUGGCUUUGUCUGACAACGAAAUAAAAAAGAAUCAAAACUUUCAACAAAGGAUCUCUUGGCUCUCGCAUCGAUGAAGAACGCAGC
rnacentral:misc_RNA from 1 species